rnacentral:rRNA from 1 species
GACGAACGCUGGCGGCGUGCUUAACACAUGCAAGUCGAACGGAAAGGCCCUGCUUUUGUGGGGUGCUCGAGUGGCGAACGGGUGAGUAACACGUGAGUAACCUGCCCCUGACUUUGGGAUAACUUCAGGAAACUGGGGCUAAUACCGGAUAGGAGCUCCUGCUGCAUGGUGGGGGUUGGAUAGUUUCGGCGGUUGGGGAUGGACUCGCGGCUUAUCAGCUUGUUGGUGGGGUAGUGGCUUACCAAGGCUUUGACGGGUAGCCGGCCUGAGAGGGUGACCGGCCAAAUUGGGACUGAGAUACGGCCCAGACUCCUACGGGAGGCAGCAGUGGAGAAUAGUGCACAAUGGGCGGAAGCCUGAUGCAGCAACGCCGCGUGCGGGAUGACGGCCUCCGGGUUGUAAACCGCUGUCGCCUGUGACGAAGCGUGAGUGACGGUAAUGGGUAAAGAAGCACCGGCUAACUACGUG